UUGUCCUAUAUAAUAAAUACAUAAAUCACAAAACAAACAAAUACAAAAUAACACACGGGCGGAGGGGGAAACCCUGUUCUAAAAAUAAACAAACAGAACACUGUACAGGGCUCCUUGCCCUGUUACACUUUCCCAUUCCUUUUAGUCAGUUCCUCUAUAAAGGAAUCCUGCUGUCUUUGUUUUUCAAGCCCAGAAAAGAAUGUAAUGCUUUUCUCUCCCUCCACCACAUGUCUGGCUUUGGAUCUUAGUAUUGCCCCCUCACAGCGCUCGUUUUCAGUUUAAUUUUGUCUUGCAAUUCCUCAAUUCUGUUAUAAUUCAUCUCCCUUAGCUCUGCUGCCUUCUCAUAUUCACGUUUAAGUUCUACCUGAAUCUCCUGCAGUAUUUCGCUAUAUUGUAUUGUAAAUUCUCCCACCACAGUCGUUUUUCAUUUUGAAACAAUGGACACUUCAUACUAUCCCUAAUUAAUAUUAAACAAAUCUUCUUUCAAAAAUGGAUUAUUAAAACACCACAGCCCUGGUCCUUUAUGCGACUUAUUAAACAGGACUUGAAAAGAGAAAGCAGCAUGAUCGCUGAAAGAGGUGAAUUUAUAACCAAUCUUCCCCAGGUAGCUAAGAAAGUUAACAUGACAUAUUCCAAAAUCUAUUCUGCUUUGGUUUAAUUCCUUUUGUACAAACUGUCUCCUGGAGAAAUCCCUCUUUAUCGAAUUUCGGCAUCUCCAGAAAUCAAUAUAAUUAUAAUUCUCCAAAUGCCUUGCCAACAAACUUCUGGAAUAAUCACCUUUGAAAACCAUUCCUGAUGCUAUGUCUAUAGUGCUCAUAGCUAUAUUGAAGUCUCCCACCAUAAUGACAUUGUCUGCUCCCAGGUGUCUCUCCAGGCCAGUAAAAAAAAAUUCAAAGCGCUCCUUUUGAUAAUUAGGAGCAUAAAUAUUGACCAAUUGUAAUAAAAUAAAAUAGGGCAGAUAAUUUCAAUUUCAGACAAUUAUUUUUAAAAUGAAUUUGCAUUUUUUAAAAUCUCCCUUAUGUAUCCUUCUCUAACAAAGAAACACUUUCCUUAAAAAUAUUAUUAACUAAUACAGCCACCCCUCUCCUAUGGUUGGACUAAUUACUAGUAUAAAUGUCCCCAUUCCAGAAAUGCUUAAAAUGAUGAAUAAAAGCAGUGUGGUGUAGUGGUUAGGGCUCUGGAUUCUUGACCGGAGGGUUGUGGGUUCAAUCCCCAGUGGAGGACACUGCUGUUGUACCCUUGAGCAAGGUACUUUACCUAGAUUGCUCCAGUAAAAACCCAACUGUAUAAAUGGGUAAUUGUAUGUAAAAAUAAUGUGAAAUAAUGUAAAAUGUGAUAUCUUGUAACAAUUGUAAGUCGCCCUGGAUAAGGGUGUCUGCUAAGAAAUAAAUAAUAAUAAUAAAAGCGUCAUCCCAAAAAGUUUCCUGCAGGCAGACAAUAUCAUUCUUAUUUACAUUAAUUAAAACUUUUUCAAGUUUAGCAAAAUGUCUUAACCCCACAUUAAGUGAUAAUAUUGAGAACAUUCCUGCAAAAAGAAGAAACAAUUCUUUCAAAAACUUGACCAUUAUGCUUCCUCUUCCUGCAGAACAUCAAACCCUUUUGUUUUUAAUCAUUUUUGCAAUCAUUGUUUUGCAAUUCAAUGUCCCAAUGUCUUUCUUUUUCCUCACACACCUGGAUGUGAUCAUAGCAAGGUUAGGUUUCUGAGAAUAUAUGUCAGUGGCUAGACAAAACAAGACAUGGAGACGCAAAACAAGUCUUCAGGGGUUAGUUUCCUUUUAAAACGAAUGAAUGUAUUCAAAUGCCACUACUGUUCAGUGCAAAAAUUCAUGCUAAACAAAUACUUGCAUCAUAUUGAAAAAUACCAUCAGCAUGAGGCAGACUUCAGUGUAUUAUUUGGUGUAAAUAGUUGACCAAAAACAUUUAAACUUGUUAAUUCAUUUAGACGCCGUCUUUCCAGAAAACAUACUUUUCAACAAAUGACACGCCAGUAAAUGAGAAUGAUUAUGACUUGCUGGACCUGCCAGAAGAGUCAGAUGAAAACCGCUCCUUGCACAUCUUGCUGGAGGAAAGAAAAGAAAAAAUGAAGCAGAUGAAAAUGUUGGAGGACCUGGAAAGAAAACACAUCACAUGCUGUUGCCAUCAGACGGGUCCCAUGAAGAUGGGCACAGUAUUGAAGCCCAUCUGAGGUUUUUGAUAGAGGAGUACCAGAAACCUCGACCAAAUAUUACCCAAAUGUUGGACAGAGCAGCCAGAACAGCCCAUCACCGCCAGCUCCUGCAGGACAUGAAGACGUUAUUUGGAGUUUAUGUGGAUAAAGAAUUACUUGGAGUGAAUGGUUUGGCAAGUCUGGAUGCAAAUAUCUUGAAAACAUCAAAGAAUGGUCCAUUGAAGGCAAUGAUGCUUGAAACUAUUGACCAGUGUCGACAUGAAGAGCAAAGAAAAGCUCCUCUGUGUUACCCUCUUUCACUCCCCCUCACCUCCUGUGUUAUCCUCUUUCACUCCCCUCUGCCUCCUCUGUGUCACCCUCUUUCAUCCCCCUGCCCUCCUCUGUGUCACCUCCUCUUUCACUCCCCCUCUACCUCCUCUAGCUACUUUUCCCCUCCCCCUCUCACUCUCCCUUUGCUCCCUGUCCCUCUCUCCUGUCCCCUCUUUCCCUCCCCCCUCUUCUCUUCCCCCUUUUUUCUCUCCCUCACUCCAAUCCUUUCUCUUCCUUUUCUCCUUAUUUGAUUUCACUCUUUUUUUUCAGGAACCUUGUGCACCUACACCCGUAAUUGUGCUGUGGACCAAAUAAAAAUCCACUUCAAGCAGAAUGGGUCUCUGUCCAUGUCGACAGGGAGGAGGUUAUGGAGGAUCAAAAUGGUAGCAUGGAUAUAACACAUGCUGUGAGCUGCUUUCUAGGUGUCCAUUUUGUUUACAGCCUAGAAUAUUGUAAAUAUAUUUAAAAUACUCUGUGUUUCAUGUAGAAUUAUCUUUGUCACAUACCAGGGCAACCAAAACUUUCAACAAUUUGUGUUCGUAUUUACAAUAUGCUGAAGUAAAAAUUUUAAAGGACACUGCAUUCAAAAUAGAAAAGGUCUCUAAAACAUCUUUAUCCAGAUGAGAUAAACGCUUGACUUUUUCACUAGAUCGGCACAAUGAUAAGCAUGUGUUAUAUAUAAAGAACAUAUGUGUAAUUAAUGAUGCUAAUAAUAUGGCUAUUUGUGUUUUUGUUACCUGUUUGAAUCUAGAAACUGCACUCAUUCUCUGCUGAUUUUUUUGUUUUAAUUGCGUCUUCAAUUUUAUUUAAAAUCUUAUAUGAGAUAUUCUUCUACAAUUGUCAAAUAAAUUGCUUGAAGAUAAUAUGGUUUGUAUGGUUUUCCUUUUAGGACAAUAGCAAAUACAUAAGUUUAU